rnacentral:rRNA from 1 species
AUUGAACGCUGGCGGCAGGCCUAACACAUGCAAGUCGAACGAGUGGCGGACGGGUGAGUAAUGUCUGGGAAACUGCCUGAUGGAGGGGGAUAACUACUGGAAACGGUAGCUAAUACCGCAUACCAUCAGAGGUGCCCAGAUGGGAUUAGCUUGUUGGUGGGGUAACGGCUCACCAAGGCGACGAUCCCUAGCUGGUCUGAGAGGAUGACCAGCCACAAAGGAACUAAGACACGGUCCAGACUCCGACGGGAGGUAGCAGGGGGGAAUAUUGCAAAAUGGGCGCAAGCCUGAUGGAGCAAUGCCGCGUGUAUGAGGAGGGCCUUCGGGUUGUAAAGUACUUUCAGCGGGGAGGCGUUACCCUCAGAAGAAGCACCGGCUAACUCCGUGCCAGCAGCCGCGGUAAUAC